ACUCAAAUGAAUUGACGGGGGCCCGCACAAGCGGUGGAGCAUGUGGUUCAAUUCGACGCAACGCGAAGAACCUUACCUAGGCUCGAACGGCUGGUCAACGGAGGUGGAAACAUCUUUACCCCGCAAGGGGGUCCAGUCGAGGUGCUGCAUGGCUGUCGUCAGCUCGUGUCGUGAGAUGUUGGGUUAAGUCCCGCAACGAGCGCAACCCUUGUCCUGUGUUGCCAUCAUUCAGUUGGGAACUCGCAGGAGACCGCCAGGGAUAACCUGGAGGAAGGUGGGGAUGACGUCAAGUCCUCAUGGCCUUUAUGUCUAGGGCUACACACGUGCUACAAUGGACGGUACAAAGCGCAGCAAACCCGCGAGGGGGAGCCAAUCGCAAAAAACCGUUCUCAGUUCGGAUUGCAGGCUGCAACUCGCCUGCAUGAAGCUGGAAUCGCUAGUAAUGGCAGAUCAGCACGCUGCCGUGAAUACGUUCCCGGGCCUUGUACACACCGCCCGU
rnacentral:rRNA from 1 species